UACGGAGGGUGCAAACGUUGCUCGGAAUUAUUGGGCGUAAAGCGCACGUAGGCGGUUCGUUAUGUCGGAUGUGAAAGCCCUCGGCUUAACCGAGGAAGUGCAUCCGAAACUGGCGAGCUUGAGUACGGAAGAGGGUCUCGGAAUUCCCGGUGUAGAGGUGAAAUUCGUAGAUAUGGGGAGGAACACCGGUGGCGAAGGCGGCCAUCUGGACGGAUACUGACGCUGAGACGCGAAAGCGUGGGUAGCAAACAGG
rnacentral:rRNA from 1 species